rnacentral:rRNA from 1 species
GACGAACGCUGGCGGCGUGCUUAACACAUGCAAGUCGAACGGAAAGGCCCUGCUUUUGUGGGGUGCUCGAGUGGCGAACGGGUGAGUAACACGUGAGUAACUUGCCCUUGACUUUGGGAUAACUUCAGGAAACUGGGGCUAAUACCGGAUAGGAGCUCCUGCUGCAUGGUGGGGGUUGGAAAGUUUCGGCGGUUGGGGAUGGACUCGCGGCUUAUCAGCUUGUUGGUGGGGUAGUGGCUUACCAAGGCUUUGACGGGUAGCCGGCCCGAGAGGGUGACCGGCCACAUUGGGACUGAGAUACGGCCCAGACUCCUACGGGAGGCAGCAGUGGGGAAUAUUGCACAAUGGGCGGAAGCCUGAUGCAGCAACGCCGCGUGCGGGAUGACGGCCUUCGGGUUGUAAACCGCUUUCGCCUGUGACGAAGCGUGAGUGACGGUAAUGGGUAAAGAAGCACCGGCUAACUACGUG